rnacentral:rRNA from 1 species
UACGAAGGGGGCAAGCGUUGUUCGGAAUUACUGGGCGUAAAGGGCGCGUAGGCGGCUUACCAAGUCAGGCGUGAAAUUCCCGGGCUCAACCUGGGGGCUGCGCUUGAUACUGGUGAGCUUGAAUGCGGGAGAGGAUAGUGGAAUUCCCAGUGUAGAGGUGAAAUUCGUAGAUAUUGGGAAGAACACCGGUGGCGAAGGCGGCUAUCUGGCCCGUAAUUGACGCUGAGGCGCGAAAGCGUGGGGAGCAAACGGG